rnacentral:rRNA from 1 species
UACGUAGGUGGCGAGCGUUGUCCGGAAUUACUGGGCGUAAAGGAUGCGUAGGCGGAUGAUUAAGUGGGAUGUGAAAUACCCGGGCUCAACCUGGGGGGUGCAUUUCAAACUGGUCGUCUAGAGUGCAGGAGAGGAAAGUGGAAUUUCUAGUGUAGCGGUGAAAUGCGUAGAUAUUAGGAAGAACACCAGUGGCGAAGGCGACUUUCUGGACUGUAACUGACGCUGAGGCAUGAAAGCGUGGGGAG